CGGGUGAGGGGAGGGAAGUACCCUUCAGCUUGGAGGUCUGAGAAAGCUGGCGUGCUGGGGAAUCAAUACAGGAAGCAGAGCAAAGCUUUGGUGUUUUGUAGUGGUCGGGACAGGGCUCUCGCUAGGCUCUGUGGGCUCGGCGCAGGGUCCCCCCCGGGGCCGAGGACUCCUGAGGGUGGGCCCUUCUCGGUCCCCGCGGCCGCGGGCUUCAGUGCGCCUCGCUUCCCGGCACCGCAGGGCCUGCCCGGCACCGGCAAGCAGGGUGGAGCAGCGGCGGUCUGCCGGGCAGCUGCGGGAGCUCGUCUUGCUCUUCCGCUUGCAGGUGCGCCCGGGGAAGGUGGGACGCGCAGGAGGGGGCGCCCGCCAUGCCCGGACCGCAGCUCCCCGCCGCGGCCUCCAGCCCGCCGCCCCCGCGGAACGGCCUGCCGCAGCCCCUGUGAGGCCGAGGAAGAGGCGGCGGCGGCGAAGGCGCCGCCCCCUUGGCGAGCUUCGCGACCUGGCGGCCUCCGCAGGACCCAUGGCGGAUUCCUCGCCCGCGCUGUCCCUGCGGGAAGGCGGCCCCCGAGCCCCCCGGCCCUCGGCUCCCUCGCCGCCCGCGCGCUCGCGCUCGGGCUCGGAAUCAGAGGAGGCCGAGCUGUCGCUGAGCCUGGCCCGCACCAAGACCCGCUCGUACGGCAGCACUGCCAGCGUGCGGGCGCCGCUGGGCGCCGGCGUCAUCGAGCGCCAUGUGGAGCACCGGGUCCGCGCCGGCGACACGCUACAGGGCAUCGCGCUCAAAUACGGAGUCACGAUGGAGCAGAUUAAAAGGGCAAAUAAACUGUUUACGAAUGAUUGUAUAUUUCUGAAGAAAACUUUGAACAUCCCAGUUAUAUCAGAGAAGCCUUUGUUGUUUAAUGGACUUAACUCAAUAGAUUCUCCAGAAAAUGAAACUGUUGAUAGCAGUUUUUCUCAUGAAGAAGAGCCAGCAGCAGCUGGAGAAGACCUCUCUCCUUCCAGUCCUCAAGAAUCUGAUGUUCAGCCUGUACAACCUGAAGAAGUGUCAGCUAGAGAUUUCCUGCAGAGACUAGACUUGCAGAUUAAGUUGUCAACACAGGCAGCCAAGAAACUAAAAGAAGAGAGCAGAGAUGAAGAAAGUCCUUACGCAGCUUCCCUCUAUCACAGUUAGAUGAUCAGGGACGAUAAUCUAACCUGGAUGAAAAGGUGGUUGGAUCACGAAGAAACCAACAACUAAAGAUUCAAAAGCAUAUACAUCCUUAAAUCACAACCAAAUAGUUUCACCUACUGCAAUUGCACUGACGUGAUUAUUUCCUCUGGCUUUCUAUGAUUUUAAGUCUUUAUUAUGGCAUGAGAGCAAAAUCGUAUCCUAAAGAUCAUCACUUUUGUAGGUGAUGGUAGUUUUUAGACUAGUUUUUGUAAAUACUAGUUAACAUAAAGCAUCAAAGACUAUAUACAUAUUCAAGCUGAAAACAGUGUUUAUCUUCUGAAAAAUCCUAAUGAUGUGAAAUAUAUGGUUGCUGUUUAAGUGAUGCUGAUUUUGCUAUGUGUUUAUAACUUAAGUCUGUCUCUUAUACAGCAUCUGA